AAACAAAUUCCUCAGACUGACCACCUUACUGACUGAGCUUAGGAGGGUAGAACAGCAACAUAAACACAGACCCGACGACGGGACAUUCCGACAGCUGGAGGCUAAAAGACAUGCCAUCCGCUCCUUACUACUAGAUGACUCGGCUAAAGCCAUGACAUGGUCCAAACGCACCUUCUAUGAAAAGGCAAAUAAGAUGGACACGCUAUUGGCCAGGAGUCCUGAAGCCUAGACUGCGACGCGGACAUAUCACUGCCAUACGACACUCAGAUGGCUCCAUUAAAACUCUGCCCACAGAGAUCGCAGACGUAUUUACUGACUUCUUCAAAACACUCUACAACCACUCUCCGAACACAGCAACGCAAGUAGCGACAGAC